CUUGCUUUAAUUUACUGCAUUUUAUAAACAUGAAAACAAAAUAAAAAGAGUGUGUAGAUAAGUGUGCUUUAUUUAUCUGCUAAGUCUUAAUCUCUAGAAAAAUAAAAAGACCAAAAAGAUGCAUGAUUGAAAUGAUGAAUAGUUGCUCUGUUUGCUUACUUUCAAGUACCUAGCUUCUAUAUUAGAGUUCUUCCAGGAAUUACUAAAACUGAAAUUACUAUUUAUGGAAAGCAUAAAACUAAAGUCUAGGUAAGAGAAAGGCAUGAUAUAAAGUGAGCUACUGUUUAUCUUGUUCCUACUACACUAAGUUCUGGAGAUUUAUUUUGGAAACUUACAAAGCACAUGAUGAGUUCCUAGCAUUACAAACUACCUACCACAGCCAUGCUUGCUAUAACAUCUUUUACUUAUAUUUACAUUGAGUUUGAUCGAGCUGUGUAGACCCUUAGGAGCUUUUCAUGUGGUUAAAUUAAGAUAUUCACUUGCACACAUCUACCACACCAUCCACCACCAUUUAUUAAAAUUGCUAAAAAUAUUAUCACUCACUGUCCCAAGUAUUAUUAUUCUCUCUCUCUCUAAAAAUAUUUAAUGCAGAAGAGGCAUGGGUUAUGCAAAAAUAUGUGAGGAAAUAAAAAGGGGCAAGUGCCCGGAACCUCGGAAAAGAAAGAAAAAGAGUGAGACGAGAGGUAAAAAUGGACAAGUGUCCGAAGUAGAAUUAGGGGUACAAAGAUGCCCACUUGAGCAGAAAAAAUGGACAAGUGUCUGACAGUAGAAUUAGGGGUAUCUACUACCCACCUGAAAAAAAAGAGAAAAGAAAAGAAAGAGAUAGCCCAUGUUCUCCAAAGCAAAGAUCAAAGAGGAGGAGAGAUAGCAAUAUAAGGAGCAAUGAGAAGUAAGCUUUAUCAUAACUUAUACAUUUUUACCAUCACUAUCAUUUACUCCACCACACAUGCACAUCUUGAUUUAAUUAUAUGCUGAGUUCCUUUGGAUCCAUGGC
rnacentral:lncRNA from 1 species